rnacentral:rRNA from 1 species
GAGAGACUGCCGUCGUAAGAUGUGAGGAAGGUGGGGAUGACGUCAAAUCAGCACGGCCCUUACGUCCGGGGCUACACACGUGUUACAAUGGGGGGUACAGAAGGCAGCUACCUGGUGACAGGAUGCUAAUCCCAAAAGCCUCUCUCAGUUCGGAUCGAAGUCUGCAACCCGACUUCGUGAAGCUGGAUUCGCUAGUAAUCGCGCAUCAGCCACGGCGCGGUGAAUACGUUCCCGGGCCUUGUACACACCGCCCGUCAAGCCAUGGGAGCCGGGGGUACCUGAAGUACGUAACCGCAAGGAGCGUCCUAGGGUAAAACUGGUGACUGGGGCUAAGUCGUAACAAGGUAGCCGUACCGGAAGGUGCGGCUGGAACACCUCCUUU